UGGGGUAGCUCAGUCGGUAGAGCAUCUCCAUGGUAAGGAGAAGGUCGUGGGUUCGAUUCCCACUCCC
rnacentral:tRNA from 1 species